rnacentral:rRNA from 1 species
UAGGGAAUCUUCGGCAAUGGGGGGAACCCUGACCGAGCAACGCCGCGUGAGUGAAGAAGGUUUUCGGAUCGUAAAGCUCUGUUGUUAAGGAAGAACGAGUGUGAGAAUGGAAAGUUCAUGCUGUGACGGUACUUAACCAGAAAGGGACGGCUAACUACGUGCCAGCAGCCGCGGUAAUACGUAGGUGGCAAGCGUUAUCCGGAAUUAUUGGGCGUAAAGCGCGCGUAGGCGGUUUUUUAAGUCUGAUGUGAAAGCCCACGGCUCAACCGUGGAGGGUCAUUGGAAACUGGAAAACUUGAGUGCAGAAGGGGAGAGUGGAAUUCCAUGUGUAGCGGUGAAAUGCGUAGAUAUAUGGAGGAACACCGGUGGCGAAAGCGGCUCUCUGGUCUGUAACUGACGCUGAGGCUCGAAAGCGUGGGGAGCGAACAGG